rnacentral:rRNA from 1 species
AUGAACGCUAGCGGCAGGCUUAACACAUGCAAGUCGAGGGGCAUCGGGAGGGAAGCUUGCUUUCCUUGCCGGCGACCGGCGCACGGGUGAGUAACACGUAUGCAACCUGCCCUCUUCAGGGGGACAACCUUCCGAAAGGGAGGCUAAUCCCGCGUAUAUCGGUUUCGGGCAUCCGAGAUCGAGGAAAGAUUCAUCGGAAGAGGAUGGGCAUGCGGCGCAUUAGCUUGACGGCGGGGUAACGGCCCACCGUGGCGACGAUGCGUAGGGGUUCUGAGAGGAAGGUCCCCCACACUGGUACUGAGACACGGACCAGACUCCUACGGGAGGCAGCAGUGAGGAAUAUUGGUCAAUGGGAGAGAUCCUGAACCAGCCAAGCCGCGUGAGGGAAGACGGCCCUAUGGGUUGUAAACCUCUUUUGUCGGAGAACAAAACCCGGGACGUGUCCCGGACUGCGUGUAUCCGAAGAAAAAGCAUCGGCUAACUCCGUGCCAGCAGCCGCGGUAAUACGGAGGAUGCGAGCGUUAUCCGGAUUUAUUGGGUUUAAAGGGUGCGUAGGCGGUCCGUUAAGUCAGCGGUAAAAUUGCGGGGCUCAACCCCGUCGAGCCGUUGAAACUGGCAGACUUGAGUUGGCGAGAAGUACGCGGAAUGCGCGGUGUAGCGGUGAAAUGCAUAGAUAUCGCGCAGAACUCCGAUUGCGAAGGCAGCGUACCGGCGCCAGACUGACGCUGAGGCACGAAAGCGUGGGGAUCGAACAGGAUUAGAUACCCUGGUAGUCCACGCAGUAAACGAUGAAUGCUGGUUGUCCGGGUCGAAUGAGACCUGGGCGGCGAAGCGAAAGCGAUAAGCAUUCCACCUGGGGAGUACGCCGGCAACGGUGAAACUCAAAGGAAUUGACGGGGGCCCGCACAAGCGGAGGAACAUGUGGUUUAAUUCGAUGAUACGCGAGGAACCUUACCCGGGCUCAAACGGGAGUGGAAUGGACCAGAGACGGUUCAGCCUACGGGCCGCUUCCGAGGUGCUGCAUGGUUGUCGUCAGCUCGUGCCGUGAGGUGUCGGCUUAAGUGCCAUAACGAGCGCAACCCCCGCCGGCAGUUGCUAACGGGCAAUGCCGAGGACUCUGCCGGGACUGCCGCCGCAAGGCGUGAGGAAGGCGGGGAUGACGUCAAAUCAGCACGGCCCUUACGUCCGGGGCGACACACGUGUUACAAUGGGCGGUACAGCGGGAAGCCAGGCGGCGACGCCGAGCGGAACCCGAAAGCCGUUCUCAGUUCGGAUCGGAGUCUGCAACCCGACUCCGUGAAGCUGGAUUCGCUAGUAAUCGCGCAUCAGCCAUGGCGCGGUGAAUACGUUCCCGGGCCUUGUACACACCGCCCGUCAAGCCAUGGGAGCCGGGGGUGCUUGAAGU